rnacentral:lncRNA from 1 species
UCCACAAAUUGAAACACAUAACACUCAAGAUAGAAGUCAAGGGUUGUAACGGGGCUUAGGGUAUUGGCUAACAAAGAAAGGAUAAGGAAAACAAACGUUCUUAAAGUGAUAGUAAGCAAAGUAAUGAAAUUGAGACUUCGAAUUUACUUAGAUUGUAGAAAUUAGCUUUAAAACACAAGGGGAAGAUUUAAACAACUCCUUAGGGUCGAAUUCAUUGUUUUGGACCCCUUCUUCAUCAAACAACACUUUAGAACUCUUUUUCACUUCUUUUCAACUCUUUUCGCAUUCUUUUCACAUUUUUCUUUUCUUUUUUCUUUCUUUUUACCCGUGCCUAUGGCACAUAAUUCCUUAUGAAAAACACUUCCCCCACACUUGUUUUCUGCCACAAAGGAAUUCAAUUUGAAUCAUGCUUUACUACGCUUUAAGAACAAGGUUAAUGGUGUUGGAAAUAUGCCCUGAAAGUCAAUCUUUGGAAGAAAUCUUUCAGGACAAAUGAAUCGAUGUAUGGAUGAUUCUUAUACAUCAAAUGGCGAAGAUACUAAUUAGGACUAUCUCAAUAAACGAUAUAUGUCCUGAAUAGUGAAUCCAUGGACAAUGGAUCGAUUGAAGAAGUGAUCUAAUGAUGUUAGACUACAGAGACCUUCUUUACAUAACCAUUAUGUCCAAAAGGUUCCUGGUCAUUGGAUUGUCGGAGGGAUACUGACAAUGCUUA